GACAGAGGUGGCAAGCGUUGUUCGGAUUUACUGGGCGUAAAGAGUGCGUAGGGGGUGAGGUAAGACCUGUGGGAAAGACCUGGGCUUAACCCAGGAAGGGCGCACGUGACUGCCUCGCUUGAGGACGGGAGAGGAGAGCGGAAUUCCCGGUGUAGCGGUGAAAUGCGUAGAGAUCGGGAAGAAGGCCGGUGGCGAAGGCGGCUCUCUGGAACGUUACUGACACUGAGGCACGAAAGCGUGGGGAGCAAACAGG
rnacentral:rRNA from 1 species